CUUCUUGCCAAUAGAAGUAGAUCAAUCAACACCUGAAAUUACGCGAAGCCAAACCGCCGCUUGUAAACCAACAAUCCCUUGUUUACCAAUUUAAAUGUGACCUGUGCGAUGCAGGUUAUGUUGGCUUUACACGACGGCACUUACAUCAACGCGUGGACGAACUCAUAG